GACGAACGCUGGCGGCGUGCUUAACACAUGCAAGUCGAACGGAAAGGCCCUGCUUUUGUGGGGUGCUCGAGUGGCGAACGGGUGAGUAACACGUGAGUAACCUGCCCUUGACUUUGGGAUAACUUCAGGAAACUGGGGCUAAUACCGGAUAGGAGCUCCUGCUGCAUGGUGGGGGUUGGAAAGUUUCGGCGGUUGGGGAUGGACUCGCGGCUUAUCAGCUUGUUGGUGGGGUAGUGGCUUACCAAGGCUUUGACGGGUAGCCGGCCUGGGAGGGUGACCGGCCAAACUGGGGGGGGGUGAGGGCCCGGCCUCCUACGGGGGGGAGGAGGGGGGAAUUUUGCCAAUAGGGCGGGAGCCAGAUGCAGACACCCCGGGUGCGGGAGGACGGCCUUCGGGUGGUAAACACCUUUCGCCUGGGAGGGAGGGUAAGUACGGGUAAUGGGGAAAAAGGCCCCGCUAAACUCGGG
rnacentral:rRNA from 1 species